rnacentral:rRNA from 1 species
AGCGUAGACGGCACGGCAAGCCAGAUGUGAAAGCCCGGGGCUCAACCCCCGGGACCUGCAUUUGGAACUGCUGAGCUAGAGUGUCGGAGAGGCAAGCGGAAUUCCUAGUGUAGCGGUGAAAUGCGUAGAUAUUAGGAGGAACACCAGUGGCGAAGGCGGCUUGCUGGACGAUGACUGACGUUGAGGCUGAAAGCGUGGGGAGCAAACA